CUAAAAUCUCCUAAACCUAGUCCCAUGCAGUAGCCGAACCCUAAACCUAAUUUCUUCUUCAUUUCUUAUCUCUUCCUCCCCUCUUCCAUAUUUGAGGCUCCAACCUCCAUACCAUCUUUGUUUAUGCAUUCUCUCAGGAAUUAAUCUCCCAAUCUCUACUCCCCCCCUUCGUCUAUUCAAUCUUAGUUUCAUUUCUCUCAACUUGUAACUCGCGCAAGCCUUCACCUUCGUCAAAUCCUAUCCAGCUACUGCUAUUGUCUCAAUUGAAGAUCACUAAUUGCCACCACCAUCGUUCUACAAAUCUCUGAGUUGCCACCAUCCAUGGUUUCCUCAGUCUUCCUUUAAUAUUUAUGGUCGUUGGUAUGGUUCUCUCCACCGUACCUGUGUUAGCUUAAAAUUUUGAGUGGUAUAUAUUGGUUGAAGACAAAUUUGGGCAUGACUUUGAGAUAUUCUGGUGGCUUGGUGGCUUUGAUAUUUUAGAUUCUUUGUCUUGGUGGCUUCAAGGUAUAUUUCUAUGAUUAAUAGCGAUUAAAUUCCCAAUAUUAUGAAGGAUUGAUGAUGAUUCAUUAUUUUGAGGCAGUUGUUUGAGACAUAUUUUCUUAAUAUUUUGUAUACUUGAUUUAAGGUUUCUUAUUGUUAUUUAUUUUUUUUAUUUUUUUUUGCAUUUUGACUCUAAUUUUGGAUCUCUAUACUGUGUUAUUGGUAGUUUCAUUUUUGCAUUCUUUGGCAUUAAGCACUCAAUAUAUAUAUAGAAAGAAAUUCAUUAUUGCAAAUCCAUCUCUUUUUAAGUUUGGUUUAGUCUCUAUUUUGCCUUUUGCCAAUGAUAUUUGAAUAAUGAGUAUGAUUAUCUUAUGUUGCCGAUUACGAGACUUGGUGUGCUCAUAUUUUAUUUUUUAAAAUAAGACUCUAUACCAAGUGUAGUCACGAAUGCCCAUAAUAGGUCAUUACUUUUAUGAAAUCCUUGUGAUGAUUAAAUUUGGAGAUAUUUUAUUUUUUUGUAUUUGUAACAUCGUUGACCUCCAACUCUUUGAAACAUUGUCAAAGUCCAUCUCAAAAACUCU